rnacentral:rRNA from 1 species
UACGAAGGGGGCUAGCGUUGCUCGGAAUCACUGGGCGUAAAGCGCACGUAGGCGGCUUGUUAAGUCAGGGGUGAAAUCCUGGAGCUCAACUCCAGAACUGCCUUUGAUACUGGCGAGCUUGAGUUCGGGAGAGGUGAGUGGAACUGCGAGUGUAGAGGUGAAAUUCGUAGAUAUUCGCAAGAACACCAGUGGCGAAGGCGGCUCACUGGCCCGAUACUGAC